UAAUGUGUGGCAUAGAGGUUUGAGUGUUGGACUGCAACACAGGAGACCAGGGUUCGAUUUCCUGCUCAGCCA